UACGAAUGGAGCAAGCGUUGUUCGGAAUCACUGGGCAUUAAGGGAGCGUAGGCGGUCUUAAAAGUCGCGGGUGAAAGCCCACUGCUCAACGGUGGAAGUGCCUGCGAUACUGUAAGACUAGAGUGCGGGAGAGGAGAGCGGAAUUCCAGGUGGAGCGGUGAAAUGCGUAGAUAUCUGGAAGAACACCGGUGGCGAAAGCGGCUCUCUGGUCCGUCACUGACGCUGAGGCUCGAAAGCUAGGGGAGCAAACAGG
rnacentral:rRNA from 1 species